UUUCAUGCCAUUGUGGUUAGAGAAGAUACUUGAAUUAAUUUCUAUACUCUUAAAUUUGUUAGGUUAGCUUUGUGCCCCAGUGUGUGAUCAAUUUUUGAGAAUGUAAAAUGUGCACUUGAGAAAAAUUUAUAUUCUCAUUUUUUUUUAAUGUAAUGUCCUGAAAAUGUCAAUUAGGUCUAACUUUUCUAUUGUGUCCUUUAGAAUCUCUGUUGCCUUUUUGAUUUUCUGUCUAGAGAAUCUUUCCAUUGAUGUGAGUGGGUGUUAAAGUCUCCUACUAUUAUUGUAUUCCCAUCAAUUUCUCCUUUUAUGUCUGUUAGUAUUUUUUGUAGGCAUCUGGAUGCUCCUAUAUUAGGGGCAUAUAUAUUCACAAUUGUAAUAUCCUCUUCUUGAAUGGAUCCUUUUACCAUUAAAUAGUGUCCUUCUUUGUCUUUCUUUAUGGCCUUUGUUUUAAAGUCUAUUUUGUCUGAUAUGAGUACUGCAGCUCCUGCUUUCCUAUCUUGUCCAUUGGCAUGAAAUAUCUUCUCCCAUCCCCUCACUUUCAAUCUACAUAAUAUUAACAUUUAAUAUGUAGGAUGAACACUAGUGAUUAAAAAAUGUUUCACAUUAACUGAGGUCCUUUUAGAUUUUUAGGUUUUUGAGGGAACUACAUGUUUGAAUUAAUUUCUAUAAUAGUUAUUUCUUGAAUGACAGACACUGUGCUAGAAGUUGGGGUACAGAAGUGAGACAAAGAAAUUAAACAGAUUUUAAGCCUUCACAGAGUUUAAUAUCAAGUCCAGGGGACAUUACUGAAUCAAAUAUUCAUUCAAUGAAUACAAAUAUCAACUCCAAUAUGUCCUAAGAAGCAAAGGUCUUGGUGCUAAGAGUGUGUAAAACAAGUAAACCUGAAACCUGACCAGUGAGGAGAAUGGGAAAGUUUUCUCCAGAAAUGACAUCUGAACAAAGAUUUCAGUGAUGAGGGGGUGUUCACUAGACAGAUCCUUUUGAAAUUAAAGGAAAGGAAGAGAGGGAAAGAAAGGGAAGGGAAGGGAAGGGAAGGAAGGGAGGAGAAGAAGAAACCUCAUUACCAAAGGCACCUUUGUUGUUUGGGGUUUGGUUUGGUUUGGGGCUUUGUCUUCCAUUUUAUUGACAAACCUCCAUACUUUGCUGUGAACCUUCCUGAGCUGUUGUAUUUCCAAACCUUGAGAAGAAAGUAGAUAUAUUAAAGAGAACUAGAAGAGGCUAAUGUGGCUGGGUUGGAGAGUCUGACCACAUAGGUUGACAAAAUCUUGUAUACAGUGAUUAACACUUCUGUCUUUCCUUUAAGAAAACAAACAGCAAAGCUUUGCAGAGUGUUUAAGGAUGCCCACGUGCUAUGAGAACACGUGGUUUAAACAUGCAAGGACUUUAUUAGAGAAAUUGCUAUGAGAGGAAAUGGGCCAAGGGAGGCAAGGAGGGGGAGGGGUGAGUGGGAUGGAUAGGGAACUCAGAGUUAAUAGAUGCAAACUACUGCCUUUGGAAUGGAUAAGCAAUGAGAUCUUGCUGUAUGACACUGGGAACUAUAUCUAGUCACUUAUGAUGGAGCAUAAUGUGAGAAAAAAGAAUGUAUAGGAGUUCCCAUCAUGGCUCAGUGGUUAACGAAUCCAACUAGGAACCAUGAGGUUGCUAUUUCAAUCCCUGGCCUCGUUCAGUGGGUUAAGGAUCUGGCGUUGCUGUGAGCUGUGGUGUAGGUUGCAGACAUGCCUCGGAUCCCACAUUUCCGUGGCUCUGGCAUAGGCUGGUGGCCACAGCUAUGAUUAGACCCUUAGCCUGGGAACCUCCAUAUGCCACGGGUGUGACCCUAGAAAAGACAAAAAAAAAAAAAAAAAAAAAAGAAUGUAUACAUGUACGUGUGACUGGGUCACCUUUCUGUUCAGUAGAAAAUUGACAGACCACUGUAAACCAGUUAUAAUGGAAAAAAUAAAAAUCAUUACAAAAUUUUUAAAAAAUUCUUUCAUAGUCAGGAUUUUCAUGUUAUCUUAAAACACAAUAUGUUUGAAAGGCAUUUAACUCCUAAACCCAUAAAGGGAUUUUCUUGUUAUUUUUAUAAAAAUAUUUAUUAGCCAGUGGGUAUUUAACCAUGUAGGUUCAAUGGGGUAAGAAAAAUAAUCAAAAGAAACAUAUAUUCUACCUCAAAAAGGACAGACUGGCCUCUAGUCUAUUCCAGUCUUCUAUUUUCUUAGACUGGGAGUUAAAGCUACUUUAUAGGGCUUUGUUUAUUUGUUUCCAUUUGAAGACUUAAGGAAGAAAUUUCUGGCAAAGUUCUUGGAGAUGUCUGAUGCCACGAGACUGAGCUAAUUUGACAGUCUGUUAAUUUUGUUAUUCAGCUGUGACAUAUUGCAUCUAUAAGAACUACUGCUUUAUAUAAGCUUUGUAAUACAAACCAGCAGGAUGACAUCAAUUUCUUUUCUGUUUAUUUUCUGAGAAUCAAUUAUUUUAUGUGAAACAGGAAGAUAUGUCACUAUUUUUGACAGCUAUAAAAAAACAGAUUUCAAUAUCCUACCCUGUGAACUUUACCACAAUAUCGUAUUUCCAUUUAGCUUAAGUUGCAAGUUCAAAGACAAACUUGAUUUACAGAGUUGCCUGUUCUCUUCUAAAGAACUCUAAAUAUCCAAGACACUUGUGUUCUUUUUUUACAAGAGAAAUGGAUAAAACAGACACACAAUAAAUCAGUAGCUUUGACAAAAAUGCUACUCUGCUCACUAUACUUUCCAUUACCUCUUCUCUCUCCUUUUAAUUUACAAAUUGAAUUUCACCCUUUCCCACAACAGAUUUAGCAUUUCAAACCCUGUAGUCAUACUUUUUCUACUAACCCCAGUAAUCUCUCAGUGUAUGUUUCACUUAGUUUUUAGUAUCAUCCCUGAAAAAUCCAUUCACUCUUUCUUCACUAGUGGUCAGUGAUGAUGCUGGAAUCUUUUAUACUCUCAAUAUUUCCCUAAAAAGACUCUAAACCCCUUUCUAAUUAACUUGCUGACUUCCUUUUGUCACUCAAGUGUCCUAACCUAUUAAAUUUAAAACAAAGAAGUCUUCCACCUGUACUAAUGCAUGAAACUAUCAAAACAUCAUUUAUGACUGAUCUUCUAUUUAUUCCAAUGUUACUUUUGGAAAUAAGAACAAAGUAGUUGGAAAAUAAACAUUUCUUAUAACUGAACAGUAGGUCUGCAUUAGGUUCUCACAAGACAAAGAAAAAAGGUCUAGAAAGCAUAAAACUACCUUCAAGUGGUUAAACCCAGAGCAUUCAUUCUUUCAAGGAAAAUCACAUUAUUAACAAAAAACGUUCACAUCAGCUGCAAAGGCACUUAAAAUAUUUUCUCACUUUGGUACCCCGAUUCCCAAUUUAUUUUCCAAAAACUGAAAUAUUUUUCUCAGUAUUGUUUACAUGCCAUAAAGUGACAUAAAGUGAUUUACUCUCUACUAAAAUGUUAACCACUAUAGACAAUCUCAGUAGAAUAAAUAAGAAAUUUUGAAAAUUUCCAAGCCAUUUGCCCUAAUAAGCACUUAAAUUUUGGCCCAUGAAUAAUAGGUAUUUAACCCAGUUAUUCUCUUUGUUUGCCAUAUUGCCCAUCUCCUUCUGAAAGCCUUCUCAUAAUUAAUCAUUAUCUCCUCCCUCCUGUGUAUUUUGUGCAUUUACUAAAUCAGAAGGGCAGAGCAGAGUGCCUAACAGCUCUUUGGUAUUUUGCUACUGUUCUUUUCCCUUAACUAUGAAAAGAGUUUCUUGAAAGAAUAGUACCUGUCUUUGCCAAGGGGGAGGGGGAGGGAGUGUGAUAGAUGGGGAGCUUGGGGUUAAUAGAUGCAGACUACUGCCUUUGGAAUGGAUUAGCAAUGAGAUCCUGCUGUGUAGUACUGGGAACUAUGUCUAGUCACUUAUGAUGGAGAAUGAUAAUGUGAGAAAAAAGAACAUAUACAUGUAUGUGUACCUGGGUCACCAUGCUGUACAAUAGAAGAAAAAUGUUUUGGGGAAAAAAAAUAAAAUCUUUUCUAAUAUUCCAGUCAUUAACCAAAAAGAUCCCCUGCACGAGCAACACUUGCCUUUACUAGAGAAUUACACAGCCCCUACUCGUUCUACUCUGGAAGUUCUGCACCUACAGGUAGCUUAAAGAUUCUGCUUCUGUUGAGAGCAGGGAAAAAAAAUCUCAAACUGGCUUAAACAAAAAUGUAUUUACUGUUCAUUUAAAUGAAAGGUUCACAUUAAAGAGCGACUUCAGAGAUGGCUUUCUUCAGGAUUCAAAUGAUAACUCCAGUUUUCUUUGCUUCCCCUACAGUGACUCCCUUCUCGGGAGUCCUUGUGGUGUUUUCUGCAUCUUUAGGCUCCUGUAACCAUCACACUCAAUCCAGAGCCAGGAGAGUUGAACAAAAGCUCAAACGGAAGUCUGGAUUGAGUCUUCUUGGUUGAGAUUGGCCAGGCUGGUGGUACUAACUGGCUUAGUUUGGGUAAAGGCUCCAGCUCUGGAGCCCAGGGGCAGAGGCACCUCCAACACAAAGUUUGUGGGUCAAGAGGGAAGGCAGAGUGGCCUCCGGGCAAAACUGUGGUCAUGGGAACACAGACAAAGUGAAACACAACCAAUCCACAGCCACUUCUGACUUUCAGGUAAUUUACUACUUUUCUUAGCAAUAGAUUUUAUCAGACUUGGAACUCUCUGAGAGAUCUAUAUCAUGCUGCCAUGAUGUCCCCUAAUGGCAGACACAUUUUACAGAAUUAUCCAAUGAAAUUCUCAUUUGUUCUUCUAGAAACAAUUUCCAAAUUUGUAUAACAUAAAAUAACAGAUAUACUAAUAGUGCACUUGGACUUCCACCAUCCUUUAAUUUGCUCGUCUCAAGAUCUCGAUAUAACAAAAUCAUGUGAUUUUUUUUCCAUUAUCUAUUUUUUGACAUAUGAACACCAUAGAUAAAUAACUUCUAUAAAUUUUUGAAGUCUAAUUUUUGGUUAAUUAUCUCCAAUUCUUAAUAAAGUCCUAAAAGAUUUCUCUGAUUUAACAGUUCUUGACUUGUGAUUUUAGCUAUUUUUACCCUUUUUAACAUGGCACUAAAAGCUCCCCAUGGCAAGAGGGAAUGUGUUAAAAGUCUGUGGUUAAUGUCUCGCCUGCUCCUAGAUGACUUCUUUAAGAGGCCCAUUCCUUUUAGCACUUUCAAACUCGAUAACUGUGUUCACCAGUGUCACCGCCUUUUUCUCUUUUGUAAACACUUGAGAAACAUGUCAAAUGUCAUUCUAUCUUUCUUCUCCCUCCUGCUUCCCUUUAAAUAUUUCAGCAGAAAAAAAAAUUUCCAAAAAAUGUAUUUGCCUUUAUUUAUCCAAUAAAACUGUGUAUUUGCAUACUAUGAAAUAUUUUUCAGCAAUGCUAAGGGUUAUUUUAGUUUAGUUUUGUUGUUGUUUGCCUCUUGUCAAUUUCAUCCCACAUUUACUUCUUUUCAU
rnacentral:lncRNA from 1 species